rnacentral:lncRNA from 1 species
GUUCAAAAUUCUUGAAUCUAUAGUCAAAAAUUUGCAGUGUUUCACUUGUACAGAAAGAAUAAUGGAAUCAUACAAUCAUUCAUUCCUAUGUGAUUUAAUAUGCGGGUUUUUAGUGUUCAAUCUGAUAAUAUUAAUUCUAGCAGACGAAAACAAAAAAUAAACUAGGGCAGCACUUUUCUAAUGACUUAUACAAAUGUGAAAAGUUUAUUAAAAGCUGCAAUAAACAUUUCUAGAAAACUUAACAUUUAGCAACCAAAGUUUUCACAAUAAUUAACAUAUUUAGUGCUUAGUUGGAAAUUUACUUUAAUUAUCUGACUCUAAGUUUGGGAAACAGAAGUGAAACUUUACUCAAUGAAAUGUAAUACCUUUUAAAUAUGCAAUUGAAAGAAAAAUAUGAAAACUUUUUUAUGAGGAAAAGAGAUUAAAUAAAAUAAAAAGGCACCAAUCAAAACACUUUGAAAAAGUGUUAAUGAAAAAAGCCCAUUUUUCCCUUUAAAAAUUCACAUAUCAUUAAAAUAUAAUUAAGAAAUUCAUGUGCUUUUACAUUCUUGCAAUAAAUUCUUAUGGUCAUAUGGUCUAUAAGUGAAAAACAUUAUUAUAUGAUCCCUCCUAAAUGCAAAUUACAUAAUUAUAAAAACAAAAUUUUUCAUUUAAUGAAGCUUCAAGCCUCAGAUUUCUUUUUCCUUCAUAUUACUUAAAAAAUUCCUUGUGUUAACUUAUCAGAACUGAAUCCUUAGUUAUAUAUUGAGUGUAUAUAAAAUUAUUGAAUCUAAGUUUAGAAAAUGUGCAACUCUUCUAACUGAAUUUUGUAUAAUGUCUUGAUUUCAGUUAGCCUUAAAAAAUUGAAAAAUAGCUUUGAAAAGUCUCUUGAAAAGCCUAUAUAAUGUGGCCUAAAAAUAUAAAUUCUGUAAUUCAAGAAAUAUUACAAAUAUAUAGAAAUAGUAAUACUUAUAAUUUUAGUUUUAUUUACUGAGUAUUAUUAUUUUAUUUCUUUAAAAUCUAUUUUGAUUUUUGAACUAAAAGGGGGAUUUAAGUAACUCCUCUCACAAAAUUGUAUUUGCUUAUUUUUCAGCAAAUACAGGAAGUAAAAUUAUGUCAUUAUAUCUAAGUUUUAAUUUAAAUAAAAUAUUGUGUGAAUGAAUAACCUCUUUUUUUUAAAUUAUUUUAUUUAAAAAAAUAUAAUAUAAUUAUAAUAUUAAAUUAAAUUUCUUAAUAUUUUAUUUUAUUAACUGUAAAUAUGAAUUUUAUAUACCUUUUUUUGCAUUAUAUAUUGUAUCAUAUUGCAUUCUCUAACUAACAAUUACAAAUUUGUUACUAUUGUAUAGCAUCAUCAUUUAAUCACAAAGUGAUGCAGAACAAAAUUGUUGCCAUAAUAUUAUGUUAAAAAAUUACAUUAGCCUUAUAUCUUCUGACAAACCUUCUUUACUAAUUAAUGAAACUAAAUUAUUUUAAAAUAACGUAGGUACCUAAAGGUGUAGUUCUGUCAGAAGUAUUUGGGAUUAAUUAUUUUUAGAAUCAUUUAAAUAUCUAUUAAAUGUUAGUUAAGAAACAAUUAGAUAUUUUUAUUUUGAAAUCAACUCUAUCAAGGGUUUUAUAAUGUUAAGAUAAAUACAGUUUCUUAAAUAUCCAAGUUCUUUUCCCCUAUGUUUUUGUCAGACAUAGUUUCUUGAACUGUUUAACUUUGUUAUUUAAUGUAUGCAAUAAUGUAAGAUUUUAACUUGAGUUUGAUGCUCAAUCAAUAGCAAUAAUUAGAUGCUGAAUCAAUUCAAAAACUGCAUUCUGCCUUUGUGUGAAUUACACCUCCAAAUCGUAUGACUUUUAAAGUUUAAAAAUUCUGUUAUGAAGGUUCAUUGAAAUGGAGCUGUAAAGAAUCUGUUACAUAAAAUUUAAAAAAUGUCAUAAGGAAUACUGAAAUCUGAGUUUCCAAAGAACAGUUUUUAAAAUAAAGUAUGAUAUACUUUUCAUAUGUUUGCAUUUUGAAUGAACUGUAAUAUAAUGCAAUAAAAAUAAACUAGGAAAUUAAUUACUCUUCAAGUUUAUUUUUUUACAAUGUUUGAAAACAUAUAAAAAAAAAACCAUUUUUUUACCCUUUGCAUAUGGAUAUUUAAUAUGGCAUUCUAUAUUUAUAAUACUUUAUUAUUCUGUACCAUAAUGUUAACCUUUGUCUAUUCAGAUAAACUCAAUGUUAAAUUAUAAUUUAUAAGAUAUACAUGUUCAUGUCUGGAAUUGAGUGUGUAUGCGAUUUAUAAACAAAAAAUGUUCCUGAAAA